CCUACGGGUGUCUGCAGUGAGGAAUAUUGGUCAAUGGGCGGGAGCCUGAACCAGCCAAGUCGCGUGAGGGACGACGGUCCUAUGGAUUGUAAACCUCUUUUGUCGGGGAACAAAGGCGUCCACGGGUUGGCGGAUGAGUGUCCCCGAAGAAACAGCAUCGGCUAACUCCGUGCCAGCAGCCGCGGUAAUACGGAGGUUGCGAGCGUUAUCCGGAUUUAUGGGGUUUAAAGGGUGCGUAGGCGGAAAGCCAAGUCAGAGGUAAAAAUGCGGUGCUCAACGCCGUACAGCCGUUGAAACUGGCAGUCUGGAGUGGGCGAGAAGUAUGUGGAAUGCUUGGUGUAGCGGUGAAAUGCAUAGAUAUCACGCAGAACUCCGAUUGCGAAGGCAGCAUACCGGCGCCCUACUGACGCUGAGGCACGAAAGCGUGGGUAUCGAACAGGAUUAGAUACCCGAGUAGUC
rnacentral:rRNA from 1 species